AAAUGAUAGUAGUCCUGUAAAAUGCUACUGUAAUAUUCAGGAGCAUUUGUACACUCAUGGGAACAAUUAAAGCAUAGCUUACUUAUUUUUGUACUAAAUGACAUUACAAAUACAUACUUUUCUUCAAAAAUUAAGUCUGCUUCAAUCUUCGCGUGCCUGAUUGGGACUUGAGGCUUCAAAUUGCAUGCUCCUAGACUUCUGCAUCUUUUGGUUGUUUAUAUCCUUGAAAGUUAUAAAAUGAUAUAAAUGGUAUUUUCACUGUGAAGAUAUAAAAAAAAUUGAGAAUUGUAUUUCAUAGGAUCUUUUUAUUGGAACACAAUGCAUGAACAUUUGAGUUACUUCACAAAUGUGAUAUUGUUCAUUGAUCUCUCUGGUUUCAGAUUUUAUCAAUGAAAGUUGCAGCAGUUAAUCCAAUAAUUGAUUUCAACCUUGACAAUUUAUUGGCU
rnacentral:lncRNA from 1 species